rnacentral:rRNA from 1 species
CAGUCGAGCGGAGUUGAUGGAGUGCUUGCCUCCUGAUGCUUAGCGGCGGACGGGUGAGUAAUACGUAGGUAACCUGCCCUUAAGACCGGGAUAACUCACGGAAACGUGGGCUAAUACCGGAUAGGCGAUUUCCUCGCAUGAGGGAAUCGGGAAAGGCGGAGCAAUCUGCCGCUUAUGGAUGGACCUACGGCGCAUUAGCUAGUUGGUGAGGUAACGGCUCUCCAAGGCGACGAUGCGUAACCGACCUGAGAGGGUGAUCGGCCACACUGGGACUGAGACACGGCCCAUACUCCUACGGGAGGCAGCAGUAGGGAAUCUUCCGCAAUGGACGCAUGUCUGA